GCUGCGAUGGCCGAGUGGUUAAGGCGUUGGACUCGAAAUCCAAUGGUAUAUUCCCGCGCAGGUUCGAAUCCUGUUCGCAGCG
rfam:Ciona savignyi cont_18399, whole genome shotgun sequence.